ACAGUUUCAAGCUUUUACAAAAGAUUAAUGUCCAUCAUUUUUUUAAUUUCACAUUUGGUAGCAAAAAAACCAAUCUUCCAGGUCUCCAUGAAAUCUUUUACUUUAUGCUUAACUUAUGAACCCUUCUAUGGGUUAGAUCAUAAUGUAAUAUUCAUAGUCGUAAAAACUUCAAAAUUCUCACCCUGUAUGUGAUGGUGAAGAACCACCAAGCAGGAUGUUUAAACAUCUGUAGGUUCUCAAAGACAACUUUGUAGGUUCUCAAAGACAACUUUGUCGUUUCAUUGAGUUAAAAGCCCUUCGUUUCACUAAUGAUGGAUUUGACCAUUAAUCAUGGAAGGGGAUUGAGCUCCCAUCCGUUUAAAAUGUUAGGCUUACUCAAAAAAGGUGGUAAUUAUUUUUUUGAUCAGA
rnacentral:lncRNA from 1 species